UUUUUAUGGAGAGUUUGAUCCUGGCUCAGGAUGAACGCUGGCGGCGUGCCUAAUACAUGCAAGUCGAGCGAACAGACGAGGAGCUUGCUCCUCUGACGUUAGCGGCGGACGGGUGAGUAACACGUGGAUAACCUACCUAUAAGACUGGGAUAACUUCGGGAAACCGGAGCUAAUACCGGAUAAUAUAUUGAACCGCAUGGUUCAAUAGUGAAAGACGGUUUUGCUGUCACUUAUAGAUGGAUCCGCGCCGCAUUAGCUAGUUGGUAAGGUAACGGCUUACCAAGGCAACGAUGCGUAGCCGACCUGAGA
rnacentral:rRNA from 1 species